AGGAUGGUGUGACGGCUGAAAGUCACCCAACCCCUCAUGACACACAUCUUUCUCAGCAGAUUUGCCCUUCAUCUGCUGAGAUUCAAGGACACAAGAAGAGAAGAAAAUAAUGAAAUCAGUUCUGUUUCCUGAUAAAGAGGCUGUUUGAAGUUCAACAGUGGCAAUGAACGACCAUAUGGCCAUGUUAUGUGUGUCCUGUAGAUGUCUCCGAUGCUGCUGACUGUGAAACUUAACACACUGGAUGACUCUGAUACUCUGCGAUUUCCUUGAUGCUGGCCUGACGCAAUAUCUAUUUUGAGAAACUAAACCCUCAGUCCACAAAAAUGUCAUUCAACCAUGAACCAGCCUCAGAGAUGUUUUGCCUUACAUUUGGUGACAG